GAAGCGUGCUGUUGGAGUGCACGUCCAAGCAGUAAGGCUGAGUGUUAGGCAAAUCCGGCACUCAUAAGGCUGAGCUGUGAUGGGGAGAGGAAAUUGUUUCCUCGAGUCGUUGAUUUCACACUGCCGAGAAAAGCCUCUAGAUAGAUAACAGGUGCCCGUACCGCAAACCGACACAGGUAGUCAAGAUGAGAAUUCUAAGGUGAGCGAGCGAACUCUCGUUAAGGAACUCGGCAAAAUGACCCCGUAACUUCGGGAGAAGGGGUGCUCUUUAGGGUUCACGCCCAGAAGAGCCGCAGUGAAUAGGCCCAAGCGACUGUUUAUCAAAAACACAGGUCUCUGCUAAACCGUAAGGUGAGGUAUAGGGGCUGACGCCUGCCCGGUGCUGGAAGGUUAAGAGG
rnacentral:rRNA from 1 species